rnacentral:rRNA from 1 species
CGCGUAGGCGGCUAGAUAAGUUUGGUGUGAAAUACCUGGGCUUAACCUGGGAAUUGCAUUGAAUACUGUUUAGCUAGAGUACUGAAGGGGGAUGAUGGAAUUAUGCAUGGAGAGGUGGAAUUCAUAGAUAUGCAUAGGAACACCGGAGGCGAAGGCGAUCAUCUGGGCAGUAACUGACGCUGAGGCGCGAAAGCGUGGGGAGCAAACA